UACGUAGGGUGCGAGCGUUGUCCGGAAUUAUUGGGCGUAAAGGGCUCGUAGGCGGUCUGUCGCGUCGGGAGUGAAAACUCAGGGCUUAACCCUGAGCCUGCUUCCGAUACGGGCAGACUAGAGGUAUGCAGGGGAGAACGGAAUUCCUGGUGUAGCGGUGGAAUGCGCAGAUAUCAGGAGGAACACCAAUGGCGAAGGCAGAUCUCUGGGCCGUAACUGACGCUGAGGAGCGAAAGCGUGGGGAGCAAACAGG
rnacentral:rRNA from 1 species